rnacentral:piRNA from 1 species
UGGAAUUCUUCCUCUCUUAGGUAGCCAAAGA